rnacentral:rRNA from 1 species
UACGUAGGGGGCAAGCGUUGUCCGGAUUCAUUGGGCGUAAAGAGCGUGUAGGCGGCCAGGUAGGUCGGUUGUGAAAACUGGAGGCUCAACCUUCAGAGGUCGACCGAAACCAUCUGGCUAGAGUCCGGGAGAGGAGAGUGGAAUUCCUGGUGUAGCGGUGAAAUGCGCAGAUAUCAGGAAGAACACCAAUAGCGAAGGCAGCUCGCUGGGACGGUAUUGACGCUAAGGCGCGAAAGCGUGGGGAGCAAACAGG